ACGCUCGACACCUACGGGAGGCAGCAGUGGGGAAUAUUGCACAAUGGGGGAAACCCUGAUGCAGCGACGCCGCGUGAAGGAAGAAGUAUCUCGGUAUGUAAACUUCUAUCAGCAGGGAAGAAAAUGACGGUAUCUGACUAAGAAGCCCCGGCUAACUACGUGUCAGCAGCCGCGGUAAUCUGAGCGGGCUGGCAAGGC
rnacentral:rRNA from 1 species